rnacentral:lncRNA from 1 species
UAAAAGAGCUAGUAGAAUCCGAAAGCUUUUUAAUCUCUCCAAAGAAGAUGAUGUCCGCCAGUAUGUUGUCAGAAAGCCCUUAAACAAGGUAAGAAGCCCAGGACCAAAGCGCCCAAGAUUCAGCAUCUUGUUACUCCCCGUGUCCUGCAACACAAACGCUGACAUAUUGCUCUGAAGAAGCAACGCACUAAGAAAAACAAGGAGGAGGCUGCAGAAUACGCUAAACUUUUGGCCAAGAGAAUGAAGGAAGCCAAAGAAAGUGCCAGGAACAGAUUGCCAAGAGACAUAGGCUGUCCUCGCUGAGAGCUUCUACUUCUAAAUCUGAGUCCAGUCAAAAAUAAGUCUUUAAGAGUAACAAAUAAAUAAUCAGACCUUGAAAAAA